UACGUAGGGUCCGAGCGUUGUCCGGAAUUACUGGGCGUAAAGAGCUCGUAGGUGGUUUGUCGCGUUGUCCGUGAAAACUCACAGCUCAACUGUGGGCGUGCGGGCGAUACGGGCAGACUGGAGUACUGCAGGGGAGACUGGAAUUCCUGGUGUAGCGGUGGAAUGCGCAGAUAUCAGGAGGAACACCCGUGGCUAAGGCGGCCCUCUAGUACGGUACUGACGCUGAGACGCGAAAGCGUGGGGAGCGAACAGG
rnacentral:rRNA from 1 species